rnacentral:misc_RNA from 1 species
UCCGGUUUGGCACCGGCAGUCUCCCAUGAGUCCCCGACAUGACUCGCUGGCAACAUGGGACAGGGGUUGCGCUCGUUGCGCCACUUAAGGCAACACCUCACGGCACGAGCUGACGACAGCCAUGCACCACCUGUGCGGGCUCCGAAGAGCACCGUGUUUCCACGGUUGUCACUCACAUGUCAAGCCCAGGUAAGGUUCUUCGCGUUGCGUCGAAUUGAACCACAUGCUCCGCUGCUUGUGCGGGUCCCCGUCAAUUCCUUUGAGUUUUAGCCUUGCGACCGUACUCCCCAGGCGGGGCACUUAAUGCGUUAGCUCCGGCACGGGAGGAGUCGACACCUCCCACACCUAGUGCCCAUCGUUUACGGCGUGGACUAC